UCUGAUUAUUUCUUUUCCGUUUCAUGCUUGUUCCGAUUUCUUUUUCAUUUUAUUCCAAAAAAUUUCUUGCAGAAAAAGAGUAGCAUUAUUCUAAUCUGAUCAUAGUGUGCGUGAGUGAAUUAAUCGGAACCGCGAUGAGAAGGGGAAGAUUCAAGAGUAAGCCCACUGUUCACCACCAGUUCUCCACGCGGGAAGAUCUCUAUAAGCACAAAUUUCAAACCCUUUCCUUCUUUUGCAUCUGAUUCCCGUUAUUGCUAUUAUUUCCAUUUAUUCAUAAAUAAUUGAAGUCCAUUCAUCUGGUUACAAAUUGAAAGAUUAUAUGACAUAUCUAGCUUGUCCCAAGAUGAAAGUGGCCUUUUCCUUUCAGCAUCCUGCAUGGAUAAUUGCAUUUAUCUCUAUAACAUCUUUUAACUUGACAAGGGGCCUUUCAGAUAUCCCACAGAAUCAUUUUUUGUCAAGGCUGCCAUUAGCCCAUAUGCAUCUCAAAUAGUCAGUGAUUCUAGUAAUGGAAAUGUUUAUGUAUGGCAGGUAACAAUUUUAUAUUUUUUAUGAUUUAUUUUACUAAGAUAGGUUGCAAUUGUGAUGUGACUUUAUUGAAAACUUCCAAAAAUUAGGUUAACAAGCCCCAAGUAAUGCCUGUUAUUUUGAAAAGUCAUGAUGUGAAGGUUACAACAAUUGACUGGUAAAUAGGAAUUCUAGUGUGGUUUAGAAUUUUAGUUCUCUUCAUUUUAAUUUGAACUUCUAACAAUAGUUACAUUAUAGGAACCACUCUGAGAUUGGUAAAUUAGCAACGACAUCAGAUGAUUGCACAGUAAGCAAAUUUAUUUAUUUAUUAAUUUUAGUUCAUUUUAUUUGAGACCAAGUUGGGUUCCAAAACCAAAUUAUCAUUUCCAAAUUGCAAUGUUAAUUUCUUUACUGUCUAUAACCUAAUAAAGUAUUCCAAGUUUACUUGUACAUGAAUUUGUCACUCACUAUUCACUUAUUUCAAUGUUUUAGACUUGUUUAUAAUAAUAAAGAACAAGAAAUUCGUUUUGUAUAACAAAAAUUUUUACACUUAUGUGUUUGAAAGGUUUAGGGUCCUAGAGAGAAAGUGGGAACAACACCUAGUGCUCUACCUACGGCAAUUUAUAUAUGGUGUUUUUUAAUGUAGAGCACCAAAGAAAUCCAGGAAGUAACAAUUAGCAUUAUAUAGGAUUAUUAUUGCUAGAAAUUUCUCAUCAGCUUCACUGUAACUUCAAGGUGAGUUCCUUAUAUUAAUAAUAAUAACCGCCGACACUGACACCAACAUCGACAGCACUAUUCUACUCCUCUUCUAAUGGUGAGUUAAUUUUCCUUUUUAGUUUUUACUUUUCUUACUCAACUUCCUUGAAUACCAUCUAUUUAUCUAACCAAUACAAUGCCUACUCAAGAAUAAUUUUCAUUUUUUCCAAUGUUUUUUCCUGUGAAAACCACUCUUUCCUGUCCUCAGACUUUGAAGCAAUUGCAGAAGUUUUGAUUUUGGAAAAUGGGUGGAUUUCCUUUCCCCAAUAUAAGGUAAAUUUCUUGCUGCCCAGCAUAUGUUCGUUAAAAUGUGCACAUGACUGAAAAGUUACAAUAUUUUUCUGUACACUCCUGACUACUCCUUAAAGUCAGAGAUUAAUCAAAUAAUAUGGAAUUCUUAAACUCUAUGCUAACAAUAUUAAGCAUAACAAAUUACUUUCUAAUCAUUUGGUUCAUGAUCAUGUUGCUUGUUCUAAUGUGGUUUGUUACUUGCUGGCGUUUUCAAUAGCAUGGAGUUUAUUAAGACUGAGCUAUCAGCUUCAAAUUCGUAUUCUCUUGGUCUCAAGGUGUUACAUGCUUAUAGUUUUUAACUGAGAUAUUUAUGACUUAAUUUUGGCAUGGCUUAAUUUUCUAAUAUGUGUUGACCUACAAGCAUGUCUGGGAGAUUAACAACUUCUCGGAAUUGGACUUAGAAUGCUAUGACUCUAAAACAUUCAAUGCUGGAAACUGAGUGGUACAACAAUCACCCUGCUUUGUUUCUAAUAUAUGCUUCCAAAGUGUCUGAAAUUUUGCUUUGCAAUUUACUUACAUUGGUCAUAAUGCUAUUUCUUGCAAGAAGAUAAAACUAUAUCCCAAAGGAAACGGCCCUGGAUUUGGCAGUCAUCUUUUUUUUAUACUUAGCCUUAUCUAACUCAUCGACACUUUCUCCCGUUUUAAAAAUAUACGCAUAGAUAACAUUACACAUACUUGACCAAAAGCAAGCCAAGCAUCACUUUGGAAAAGGUAGAGUCUAGUUCAACUUUAAAACUGUAUGAAAUUUUCCUGAUGCCAGGGACUCAAAUUGAUAGUUCAAUUAAUAUUUGACACUACUAAAACAUUUAAUUCAAUCCAAUAACCUAACUUCUCCUUUUCUCUACUUGCAGCUAAUUACUGGUUUAGUUUCUCAAACCAUGAAAUGGUGGAUCAAGAUUGAUUCCACUCAGUUACUUCACCAGUCAAUACUAGGGUUUUUUGGUGAAGGAUAGUUGCUUGGUGGAAGUUGAGGUCCAAAUUCAGGGUGGUUAAAGCAUUGUCCUGAUUUUGUCCAUAAAGCAGUCACAAUGAGCACUGACACUAUUUCUAUGUAAUAGCUUAAUUUUGUGAUACACAAAAACUUGUCUCUCAACAAACUUUCACUGGCAAGUACACUGAAUUGUCGUCAAGUAAUAACUCACAAUAGAAUGAGGUCGAA